UUGUUACACAAAGCCUGCUUCCAGUGAUGUCACAAUAACCCACCCCCUGUUACAUUACAAGGGCUUGUCUGAUCCCACCUUUUGGCCCACAGCUCUUGCCAAAUGGGAAUCUUCAGACCUGGCUACUCUAUACAGGGACCCAAUGCAUGAUGCUCAAACUAGGUAGCACAGCCAUCUCAGGAUGGCCUGGGUGAAGACAAAGGUCUAUCAGUGGUGCCUAAACUGACAACUCUUUCUUUCCAGGGAGGGACACCUCAAAUGGUGAGCCCCACCACCAUUGAUAAGGCCUAAAUAUUUUUGUCUCGGGAGAAGAAGAAGGGGAGAGAGAUGAAGAGAGAGAGAACGUAUAUAUAACACCUCCCAUUAAGUGUCUAAUUUUACUCCCGUCUUUGCAGCCAAGCUUUCCCGAACACUAUAGUUCACAGCGAAGCCCUGUCGUAAUGACAGCAGUGGAGUGAUAAUGUACUUUCCUGAUUUCCCGUUAAUAGUAGCACUUGAUCUAGCAAUGUGUGCCAGUUCAAUGGCAGAAGGAUGCUUUAACAUUUUCUGGAGCUUCCUCUGGAUUACUGAUCUGGCCUCCAUACUUCAGGAAGAACUUUGACAAAAAAAAUGGAGUAUGUUCAGGAUAGUAUGAGAGGGCUAUUAUGUGACAUGGUAAAGGUUUUGAAUUUGUGGAAAGAAUACUUGCUAAACUGCUUGUUCUUACUGAUUUCACCUGUCUUGACAUGAUGAAAAAUCUGAAUGAGGAACUUUAAAUCAUUGCAAAUUGUCUUGCCUCCCGCAGAGAGUGAGAUAAAAUGCUUUAUUUUGCCCUCCGAGUCCCUUUAGUUCAUGUAAAAAGUCUCCAGUGUUUAAUAAGGAAACCACGCAUGUGUGUGCAAAACAUUAGAGUAUGAUGCAAACAAUCCAUCCCAUGCUUCAAAGUUUGGACUAAAUUUUGUGAAAUAAAGUAGCUUUCUUUUUGCA
rnacentral:lncRNA from 1 species